rnacentral:rRNA from 1 species
GACGAACGCUGGCGGCGUGCUUAACACAUGCAAGUCGUACGGUAAGGCCCUUUCGGGGGUACACGAGUGGCGAACGGGUGAGUAACACGUGAGUAACCUGCCCACAACUUUGGGAUAACGCUAGGAAACUGGUGCUAAUACUGGAUAUGUGCUCCUGCUGCAUGGUGGGGGUUGGAAAGCUCCGGCGGUUGUGGAUGGACUCGCGGCCUAUCAGCUUGUUGGUGGGGUAGUGGCCUACCAAGGCGGCGACGGGUAGCCGGCCUGAGAGGGUGACCGGCCACAUUGGGACUGGGAUACGGCCCAGACUCCUACGGGAGGCAGCAGUGGGGAAUAUUGCACAAUGGGCGCGAGCCUGAUGCAGCAACGCCGCGUGCGGGAUGACGGCCUUCGGGUUGUAAACCGCUUUCAGCAGGGACGAAGCUUUUUGUGACGGUACCUGCAGAAGAAGCACCGGCUAACUACGUG